UACAAGUUAUUCGGCUGGGGGAUCGCCCCCAGCCUGAUUUACAUUCUGCUCACUCUCUCUCUCUUCCUCGCCCUCCUCCUCACUAUCUUCACCAUCAUGGCCGGAACUUCCACCGGAACAGCUAGAACAGGAAAAGUAAGAAGGAAGAGAGGAAAAUCAGAUGAAGGAAAUGUCUCUGUCGACGGGGUAUAUAUAGGGGAAAAUGAGCAUUUAUUGCUGAGCAGAAAACGAAGCGAACGCUUCGGGAAUCGAGGGGCAAUUAAUGCUUUGACCAGACCGGACCAGAGAAAAGGAGAGAUCGGAAUAAUAGAUCGGAAGAUAGGAGACCAGCAUGAAAGAUCGGAAAAGAGCAUGUGAAAGAGAUCAGAAAGAGGAGGGAUCGGUAGGCAAAAAGAAUAAGACAAAUUCCAAUAACCGCCGUCAGAAUCAGAGCCGAGGUAGU
rnacentral:misc_RNA from 1 species